ACAAUCCUCGCUUUGGUUGGGCUC
rnacentral:piRNA from 1 species